rnacentral:snRNA from 1 species
UUAUAUAUAAGAUUUCACCUGUA